UACGUAGGGUGCGAGCGUUGUCCGGAAUUAUUGGGCGUAAAGAGCUCGUAGGCGGUUUGUCGCGUCUGCCGUGAAAACCCGAGGCUUAACCUCGUGGCUUGCGGUGGAUACGGGCAGACUAGAGGUAGGUAGGGGAGAACGGAAUUCCCGGUGUAGCGGUGAAAUGCGCAGAUAUCGGGAGGAACACCGGUGGCGAAGGCGGUUCUCUGGGCCUUACCUGACGCUGAGGAGCGAAAGCAUGGGGAGCGAACAGG
rnacentral:rRNA from 1 species